UCCCUGGUAGCUCAGUCAGUAAAGAAUCUGCCCUCAGUGCAGGAGACCCAGGUUCAAUCCCUGGGUUGGGAA
rnacentral:tRNA from 1 species